AUUGAACGCUGGCGGCAGGCCUAACACAUGCAAGUCGAGCGGAUGAGUGGAGCUUGCUCCAUGAUUCAGCGGCGGACGGGUGAGUAAUGCCUAGGAAUCUGCCUGGUAGUGGGGGACAACGUUUCGAAAGGAACGCUAAUACCGCAUACGUCCUACGGGAGAAAGCAGGGGACCUUCGGGCCUUGCGCUAUCAGAUGAGCCUAGGUCGGAUUAGCUAGUAGGUGAGGUAAUGGCUCACCUAGGCGACGAUCCGUAACUGGUCUGAGAGGAUGAUCAGUCACACUGGAACUGAGACACGGUCCAGACUCCUACGGGAGGCAGCAGUGGGGAAUAUUGGACAAUGGGCGAAAGCCUGAUCCAGCCAUGCCGCGUGCAGGAUGACGGUCCUAUGGAUUGUAAACUGCUUUUGUACAGGAAG
rnacentral:rRNA from 1 species